GAGUUUGAUCGUGGCUCAGAGUGAACGCUGGCGGUAGGCCUAACACAUGCAAGUCGAACGGCAGCACAGAGGAGCUUGCUCCUUGGGUGGCGAGUGGCGGACGGGUGAGGAAUACAUCGGAAUCUACUCUGUCGUGGGGGAUAACGUAGGGAAACUUACGCUAAUACCGCAUACGACCUACGGGUGAAAGCAGGGGAUCUUCGGACCUUGCGCGAUUGAAUGAGCCGAUGUCGGAUUAGCUAGUUGGCGGGGUAAAGGCCCACCAAGGCGACGAUCCGUAGCUGGUCUGAGAGGAUGAUCAGCCACACUGGAACUGAGACACGGUCCAAACUCCUACGGGAGGCAGCAGUGGGGAAUAUUGGACAAUGGGCGCAAGCCUGAUCCAGCCAUACCGCGUGGGUGAAGAAGGCCUUCGGUUGUAAG
rnacentral:rRNA from 1 species